UACGUAGGGUGCAAGCGUUGCCCGGAUUUAUUGGGCGUAAAGGGCGCGCAGGCGGCUACGCACGUUCGUUGUGAAAUCGCCCGGCUCAACUGGGCGGGGUCAGCGAAUACGGCGUGGCUGGAGCAAGCUAGGGGGCAAUGGAAUUCCCGGUGUAGUGGUGGAAUGCGUAGAUAUCGGGAGGAACACCAGUGGCGAAGGCGGUUGGCCUG
rnacentral:rRNA from 1 species